AGGUCAGACCUGGCAGAGAGACAGGAGACAGUGGGGUGUGCCCACGGCCUUGGAAGGGACCCUGCCCAGGGGACCUGAGGAUGUGAGGAGUGGUGGGUGGAGGAGCCUGUGGAAGGCCCUGGGUCCUGGGGAGCAGGGAGGUUUGGAGGGUGCCUGUGUCCACGCAGGCACGUCGGUGUGUGUAUGUCUGGGCAGCCGUGUGUCUAUCAGACUCAGGCACAGUUUUUUUUUUUUUUUCAGGCACCGUUUUCUACCUGUAACCCUAGACGGGCUUCCUUCCAGGUGAUCCUGAGGGUCUCUCCCCCAGCACCGCUGGCACUUGGAUCAGGGAGAAGACCCUCUGGAGUCUCAUCGUCACCCAGGGUCAGCAGCCUCCUCUGGGCGUGGACCUGGCUUACAGGGAAUGAUGUUGGAUUCAUGAUCUCCAAAGAAAAUUUAGCUUCAGGACCAGGGACCAGGCUUGAUCACUCAAGAGCUUUUGUGUAGCAGAGUUUUAUUAAAGUGAAAAAGGGACAGAGAAAGCUUCUGACAUAGACAUCAGAAGGGGGACAGAGAGUGCCCCCACUUACUACCCUUAUCAAGGCCUUAUAUACUUUUACCAGACCCACUCUCACAACAUCUUAAAUUAACAAGACUAGAACUAACAAUAGACAGGUUUUACCAGACCCACUCCCACAACAUACAUUUUAAGACGAUAGGAUUAGUCAGAAGGUUCUUGUUAAGGAGAAAUACACUGUUAUAUUGACUAAGACAAAGCAAUGCACAAAAAAAUGUUCUUUCCUCUUCCUUGAGAACUCCAGACCCCUCUCUCCUCCUCAGGAACCCCGAACUUCUUAUCAACCUACCUAGGAAUUGAUUCACUACUGUCCCCUUGGGACAGCCAGCUGCACCCUCAGCCCUCACGGACCCCUGACGGCGCUCACCAGGCAGAGCAGCUGGAGUUGACAGAUGCCCUCAGGAUGCAUGGCACUUCACCUCUGCAGCUCCCACCAGGUGGGCGAGUGGGGCUCUUCGGCCCUGAGAGGGUCUAGCACAGAUUGAAGGCAGGCCCCUCCAUGCCCCCCCUUACCCCCCAGCACAGUACCUCAGGGUAACUCCGAGAGGAAGCCACCAGCCUGGCCGGAGAGUUCCCAGGACCCAUGAAGGCCAGGCCUGGGGCCCUUGUACCCAGGAGAGUGGGGCUGCUGGUGCCCCAGGCUGAGGACACGAAACCCAUGGCCACCCCAACCAGGAACUCGGGCACCUCGGCCCCCUGGUGGGCACCUGAGGAAGGCAGCCCUGGUGGGCACUGCAUGCACAGUUGGUCCCUUACAGGAGAUGAACCUGAGCUCCAGGAACCCAGGUAUUUAUACUAGGCAGACAACCUGCUCCUUCUCCCAAGGGGUUGGUCCAUGCUGAGUGGGCACAGGCCUCCUUGGAGAGACAGUGCAGGGUGACAGGCAGGUGGCACCUUGCUCCUAAGAGGUGCAGAGACCUGAGGCCCAAG
rnacentral:lncRNA from 1 species